GAUUGGUGGCCUGAGAGAAUUCCGCCAGCCGGGCUCUGUUCUCAAAUUCCUAACUGACAUCUGGGGCCAAAAUUUAAGUUAAUGCAGAUCCUCAGAUACACGAGGUAUCCUGGAAACCCUGCAAACCCUAGACAAAUUUGGGAAUGGGACAAGGGCCGGCAUCGGCGCGACGGAAUGGUCUACGAAAGGAAUGGUCUCGAUUUGCGGAUUGUCGCGGAAAACCCGAAAAGAGGUCACUACCGCGAGCGAUUUUUUGUAACCUUAUCAACCUUUGCAAAGUAAGUUUAUUCAAAGGAAAAUCGGCAUACGUACUCCCUCGGCCCUCUUUUUUCUUCUCCAAUUAGAAUUAGCCAGAUCUUUGAAGGUUUUAGUAACUAAUUUUUGUUUGUUUAUUAGGAGAUCUUAGUACAGGAAGUAGCUUAAUGUCUGCUUCCUUUCCUCUUGUCAUCUCUGCCUCAAAGAAGCCUCCCGGAAGUUUCUCCUAAAACCACUUUUAUAUUUCUUUUACUUAAGCCCUAAUGUGAUCCCUAGUUACAGCAUAAACAGGAGAAACACCUCCCAUCACAAAUCCGAUCCUGUUACUGAGGAAGAAGGGGAGAGUGGACAUUAGGACGCUUAAGGAAAGGUUUCAUGCCAUGCUCUCAAGUCACCAGGAAAUGUGUGCUUCAAAAAGAAGAGUUAGCUUCGUCCAGUGACCUUGACCAAAUAGCCUUGUGUUUUCUGGAGUACUGCUAUUUAAGCUUGUUUCUAUGUAAAUUUUCUCAUUAGUAGAUAUUGAAUUGUAAAAGUAUGUUUAUUUAAGCUAUGCUUGGUUGUUGGAAUGUUUUUUACUACCACAUCAAGCACUGCAGUGAGUAUCCAUAAAGCUAAUUUACUUACUUAGGCUAAAUCAUGGAGGUAGGACUUUAUGUAUAUUUAAUUUUUUUUUAGAGACUAGAGUCUAGAAAUACUGUGUUAGAUGCAAUCACACCAUUGCAGGUAGCCAAUCUGAAGGCAAUUUUAUUACAGUAAAACGAAAGGGGAUGUUUAUCGUGAAACAAAAACAUAAGAAGUUGCAGGUAAAGUAACAUUAAAUACAUAGGAAUGACUUUGUCCCCACUCAACCCCCACUGAACCUACAGUAAAGAGAUGUAAGAUGUAAGCCAACAAGAUGGCUAAAGGCACUUGCUACCAGGCCUGACAACCUAACUGGAACCUUCUGGAACCACGUGGUAAAAGGAGAAUACAGUUGUCUUCAGACCUCUGCAAGCAUGGGCCAUAGUAAAUAUAAUGUAAUGAAAGAAAAGUAAACAUUUCCCACAGUGUAAAGAAGAGAGGAAGCAAGAAAAGAAAAAAAAUAAAUAAAGUAAUGCUUUGGAAGAUGCAAAUCAGAAAAGAACAAUUCACCAAUCCAGACACGAGAGCCAGCUCCAAAUCAGAAAUAAAGGAACGGGAAGCCAGCCUAGCUUAUCCUGAGGAACUCUCUAAACAAACAGGAGCGGAGAUUUAGCUCAAGUCUUUACCAUUUCCUGCUUGGAUAUACUACAGCCACUGAAAUAUGUGUCUAACACAGGACCUGUCCUGUGUACUCUGCACACAGUGUCCCUCUCAGCAGGACCUCUUCUGUGUAUUCUGCACACACUUGCAGGAUCUCUCCUGUGUAUUCUGCACACAUGGUGACCCUCUCUGCAGGACCUGUCCUGUGUAUUCUGCACACACAGUGUCCCUCACUGCAGGAUCUCUCCUGUGUACUCUGCACACAGUGUCCCUCUCAGCAGGACCUCUUCUGUGUAUUCUGCACACAGUGACCCUCUCUGCAGGACCUCUCCUGUGUAUUCUGCAUACACGGUGACCCUCUCUGCAGGACCUGUCCUGUGUAUUCUGCACACACGGUGACUCUCUCCUCCACCACCAAUGACUUUUCUAUAGCAAAAAUCUAAUUCCACUGGUAAAAGUCCUGGGUUGGCAUGCCCUGUUUUUCUUGUUCUUUUUAAAAUAAAAUUUUAGGUAAAUUUACAAAGUAAUGAGUGUUGUUUUAUACACAUAUAUCAAUGGUUUUUUGCUUUUGCUCAUCCUUGGUCUUUCCUCUCUUCCUUCUUCUCCUCUUCCUUCCCAAAAAUACAAUAUAGGUUUAUUCUCUCUCUCUCUUUCCCUCUUGGGGGGGGCAGUCCUUGCCUUCCACUUUGUUGGAGACAGGAUGAUAUCUCUUUAAAACAAAGACCCUGAGGUCUCAUUUGACACGCCCACUCCUACACAUCUUGACUGAUAGUGCUUGAAUGUGAAAUGGCUCCAGUAGGCUAUAUUUGAACAUUUGGUCCCCAGAUGUGUGGCUGUUUGGAGAAUCUGGGGGAUCUUCAGGAGCUAAGACCCAGAUUAAGGUGGUAGGUGCCUGGGGGAGAGCCUAAGGGGGUUGUCACCUGACCCUGCUUCCACUGCAUCCUGAUCUGCUAUGAUUGUGAGGAGCCUGAGCUACAUGCUCAGGGACACACCUUCCUUGCUAUGACACACUCUAGUCUGAAAUCCUGGAGUCAAAGAAACUUUGCCUCCCUUACACUGUUGGCAGGUGGUCUGUCCAGCAGCUGAGAAAAGAGAUUAAUACACCUGCUCCUGUCUAAUUAAGAAAAAAAAUGUGGAGGCUGGAGAGGCAGCACAGCAGCUGAGAGUGGUCCUGCUAUUCCAGAAGACCAGCAUCGGUUCCCAGCUCCCAAUCCAGUGGCCCAGGAUCACCUGUAACUCCAGCUCGGGCAUCUGCUUCUGGUUUCUCACGAGUACAUUUGCAUAUCCCCACACAGACAAAGAUAGAUAGAUAGAUAGAUAGAUAGAUAGAUAGAUAGAUAGAUAGAUAGAUAGAUAGAUGGAUGGAUGGAUGGAUGGAUGGAUGGAUGGAUAGGUUAGAGAUAUAAAAUUUUAAAAUAAAAAUAAAUCUUUUAAAAA
ensembl:lincRNA Gm10101 predicted gene 10101